AGAGUUUGAUCAUGGCUCAGGAUAAACGCUGGCGGCAUGCCUAACACAUGCAAGUCGAACGGGGUUUAUAUAACAGAACUCUCCGGAGGGAAGUUAUAUAAACCUAGUGGCGGACGGGUGAGUAACGCGUGGGGAACCUGCCCUGUACCGGGGGACAACAGCCAGAAAUGGCUGCUAAUACCGCAUAAUCCUGCGCUGCCGCAUGGCAGCGCAGGGAAAACUCCGGUGGUACAGGAUGGUCCCGCGUCUGAUUAGCUUGUUGGCGGGGUAACGGCCCACCAAGGCAACGAUCAGUAGCCGGCUUGAGAGAGCGGACGGCCACAUUGGGACUGAGACACGGCCCAGACUCCUGCGGGAGGCAGCAGUGGGGAAUAUUGCACAAUGGGGGGAACCCUGAUGCAGCAAUGCCGCGUGGGUGAAGAAGUACCCCGGUAUGUAAAGCCCUGUCAGCAG
rnacentral:rRNA from 1 species